rnacentral:rRNA from 1 species
GAUGAACGCUAGCGGCAGGCCUAACACAUGCGAGUCGAGGGGUAACUAGAGUGAUAGCAAUAUUACUUUGGCUAGACCGGCGCACGGGUGCGUAACACGUAUGCAACCUACCUUAUACUGGGGAAUAACUUCGAGAAAUCGGCGCUAAUACCCCAUAACAUUGCGAAGAGGCAUCUCUUUGCAAUUAAAGCUCCGGCGGUAUAAGAUGGGCAUGCGUCCAAUUAGCUAGUUGGUGAGGUAACGGCUCACCAAGGCUACGAUUGGUAGGGGUUCUGAGAGGAUGAUCCCCCACACUGGUACUGAGACACGGACCAGACUCCUACGGGAGGCAGCAGUGAGGAAUAUUGCGCAAUGGACGAAAGUCUGACGCAGCCAUGCCGCGUGCAGGAUGACGGCUCUAUGGGUUGUAAACUGCUUUUGUACGGGAAUAAACCCUUCUACGUGUAGGAGGCUGAAGGUACCGUAAGAAUAAGCACCGGCUAACUCCGUGCCAGCCGCCGCAGUAAAAC